rnacentral:lncRNA from 1 species
UAAUUCAAUCGUACAACUCAUUGUUAUUCUCUAAUGCACUCAUUUAUUAGUGUGAAAUGUUGGUAAUUUAUGCGUAUCCUUUAGAGGCAGUUAGGCUGGAGUGUUUUUUUCUUGUUAUGUUAUGUAAUGUUGUAUCGAUAUUAUUUUGUUUACUAAUUAAAGUUAUGGAACUGAAACCAAUCAAACUGUUUUUUUUUUUUUGAAACACACCAAUCAAACUGG